rnacentral:lncRNA from 1 species
GGAAAAAGAGGUGAAAACAGUGAUAUUGAGAUCAGUCAAAUUGCUAUCAAAGGCAUGUCUUUGCCACACACACACGAAUGCACACGCACAUACACACACACACGCACACACACACACACGCACACACACACACAGCAUAUGUUUUACUAUCCUUGUGGGGACUUAAAAUUGAUUGCCAUUCAAAAUCCUAUUUUCCCUAACCUCUAACCCUAAACCUCACCUUAAUCCUAACCCCAACCCUAACCUUAACCAUAACCCUAACCUUAAAGGGAAAUUUCAUUACUGCUCUUUUACUGUAAAUGUCCAUUAAUAUGUUAUUAACAUAUAUGUGUCAUAAAAAUCGUGAAUUUCCUCCCUAGACGCAAAUACGAGCAUUUCUGCAUCUCACUGGUAGAAAUGGGCCAUCUAAAUUUCCUGGCUGUAAGCAAACCACAAUAUUCAGAAUUCAUUGAGAUUUCAGGAUGUAGUACCGCCCUUGUCAAGGUGGAUCCAAUUGAGAAUGGGUAUCAAAAGGCCUGUAGACCCAUUGGAUGAAAGCUUUCAGCCGGGAACACGUUCAAGCACAACAUCAUCUGACUUGGAUGAGGAAAAGACUGCACAUGGCUGGCAAGAGCCAAAGUGUAUAGUCUAUGAGUGUUAUGAGAAUCUACCGUCUGAAGCUAAAUAAAUAUUCCUUGACCCAAGGACUGUACUUGACAUGAUACAAGAUCAACGGUGAAGUGUUCAUUAGAGAAGUCCUUAUCAACCAGUGGAACGGAAGAAGAAUUCCUCACUACCAGCAGACUGUCAGAACAUAAUUUCUAAUAGUUAUCUAUGUGGGACUGAUACCAGUGUGGAAGAGCUGGUCACUUUUAAAAGACUUGGGGAAUGAUUGCCUUGCCAAUUGGACGAUUGAAUAUUAUUGUCUUCCUCCUAAUACAGGAUGUGGUAGGAAUCGUAAGCGACAUCAUCAUUACACAUGUCAAUACUUAUUUUAUCUAACGUUGUUAGAAAUCUAUUUCUUAUAGUAACAGCAAGUAGAAUAUGCCCUUUGUGUUUUAUAGAAAUGCAAGGUGUUUAAUGUGAAUGAUUUUAUGCUUACUGCAAAUGUUUUUUAUACCGUCUAUUUUUUCAUGUUUUCUAUUGUUUCUAAAAAUACAUUUUAAGUAUAUUUAUUUUGAAAAUGUUCUAGGGGGAGUGUAAGAAUAUUUAGAAGAUAAAUACACAAUGCAGAGGACGAGAGGUCAAUAGAGUACUAACUGUCAAGAGGACUAAAAGUCAAUAGAGUACUAACGAUCAAUGGAAAUAGUGUUUUUUCUGUAAUAGGGGAUUAAUGAUCAAUGGGUCAGAUACAUGGGAGGAAUUUCAGUCCGGGACUCAUAGCUACAUGGCAAGUUCUCGUUGGUCCAAAUUGUUUAUACAUUGAGCCUGAAAUAUGCUACUUGUUAUUUGGCCAUUGUCCCAGUUAAUUGCAAGGAAUUUUAAUUGGUCAACCACAGGCUAGGGUUGGGAUAUAAAACUACAUCCUGUCCCUUUGUUCUGUGGAGAGAAUCACUGAGUAGAGAAUAACUAAG